rnacentral:rRNA from 1 species
GAUGAACGCUGGCGGCGUGCUUAACACAUGCAAGUCGAACGGUGAAGCAGGAGCUUGCUCUUGUGGAUCAGUGGCGAACGGGUGAGUAACACGUGAGCAACCUUCACCUGACUCUGGGAUAAGCGCUGGAAACGGCGACUAAUACUGGAAAUGUGAUGGUACCGCAUGGUCUGCAUCUGGCAAGAAUUUCGGUGUGGGAUGGGCUCGGGGCCUACCAGCUUGUUGGGGAGGUAAUGGCUGACCAAGGCGUCGGCGGGUAGCCGGCCUGACAGGGUGACCGGCCACACUAGGACUGAGACACGGCCCAGACUCCUACGGGAGGCAGCAGUGGGGAAUAUUGCACAAUGGGCGGAAGCCUGAUGCAGCAACGCCGCGUGAGGGAUGACGGCCUUCGGGUUGUAAACCUCUUUUAGCAGGGAAGAAGCGAAAGUGACGGUACCUGCAGAAAAAGCACCGGCUAACUACGUGCCAGCCGCCGCAGUAA